rnacentral:rRNA from 1 species
GAUGAACGCUGGCGGCGUGCCUAAUACAUGCAAGUCGAGCGAACGGACGAGAAGCUUGCUUCUCUGAUGUUAGCGGCGGACGGGUGAGUAACACGUGGAUAACCUACCUAUAAGACUGGGACAACUUCGGGAAACCGGAGCUAAUACCGGAUGAUAUUUUGAACCGCAUGGUUCAAAAGUGAAAGGCGGUCUUGCUGUCACUUAUAGAUGGAUCCGCGCUGCAUUAGCUAGUUGGUAAGGUAACGGCUUACCAAGGCAACGAUGCAUAGCCGACCUGAGAGGGUGAUCGGCCACACUGGAACUGAGACACGGUCCAGACUCCUACGGGAGGCAGCAGUAGGGAAUCUUCCGCAAUGGGCGAAAGCCUGACGGAGCAACGCCGCGUGAGUGAUGAAGGUCUUCGGAUCGUAAAACUCUGUUAUUAGGGAAGAACAUAUGUGUAAGUAACUGUGCACAUCUUGACGGUACCUAAUCAGAAAGCCACGGCUAACUACGUG